CUCGGUGCGUUGCUCAUAGGAGUCAACAUUGAAGAGGACGAGAUCAUAGUGGCUGGCAUGGAGGGUGUCGGCGAUGCCGCGCAGACGCUCGACCACCGAGGGGCGUGUGAAGAAUGAGGCGAUGACGCCAAUGGUGAGGGUUUGUCCCCGCGAUUACCCUUGGGCCAUGUGACUGGGACGAUAAUCCAUCGCGGCGAUGACGGCCAAAA
rnacentral:misc_RNA from 1 species